rnacentral:lncRNA from 1 species
AAGACAGUGCAAUGCAUUUCCUAAAAAGCCAACGCGAUAAAACUUUCCUUCCUUCCUUUCUUCUGUCCUAGAAUAGGUUUUCCUAUGAAUAAUUGUAUGCCCACAGGAGGGGGAAUCAGUAUGUCUGAGGGGUCGAGUAUCUCUCAUGGCAACUGCAGAACGGAACCAGUAACUGCACAGAGCAAACUCGCAGCAGAGGGACAGGAGUGUGCAUCAGAGUGCCUAUUUUUUUGAUGUCAGCAGCAGAUAUGAGUGCACUUCCCUCUGAAAAUCAGGACCAAUCCUUGUGCACCGAUAGCGAUCCAGCAUGCCAUGGCCCUACACAAAACCCUUCCAGUUUUCCAGGACAGUGCCUGUUGUUCAUUAAUAGUGAAGGGGGAAAUGCCACCUAUCUGUACAGCCAGAAAGUCAGUAUGUGUGAGAGGCAUAUGCAACGCUUCCUGACAGCCAGGGAGAGGAAACACUGGCAUGCAGCUGAGAUCCGGACAAGCACAGUUUUGAAAAAGGCCAGUAGCUGAACAUGGAGGGAGUGCAAGGAGAGAGCUGCAGGAAACGUGUCUUCUGUUUCACUGAUGGAUGUUUAGAUGUUGCAUUCAAGUACUGAUGAGGGAAUCGAGAGCACAGGAGGAAACUAGAGAAGGUUCGAGAUGGGUGGCAAGUCACCUGGCACCCCAAACAAAAGUUCAGGAAGCUGGAUCAGAAGUUUGAAGCAGUUUGAAGAAGACAGUUAAGAACUAAUCCAGAUCUGGAAAUAAAAAGGGCA